UGAGUAACACGUAGCUUAUCUACCUCAAAGCGCGGGAUAACGUGUCGAAAGACAGGCUAAUACCGCAUAAGCUCACGGACUGUAGAGGUUUGUGAGAAAAGGCUUCGGUCACUUUGAGAUGAGGCUGCGGCCCAUCAGCUAGUUGGGGUGGUAAAAGCACACCAAGGCGACGACGGGUAGGGGACCUGAGAGGGUGACCCCCCACACUGGGACUGAGACACGGCCCAG
rnacentral:rRNA from 1 species